UGAGCCAAUGAUGAGAGUUUCCAAGGUAUGAAAGAGAUGAUGACCAUGUCUGUUUGGAACUCUGAGGUCCAA